rnacentral:rRNA from 1 species
AUUGAACGCUGGCGGCAGGCCUAACACAUGCAAGUCGAGCGGAUGAAGGGAGCUUGCUCCUGGAUUCAGCGGCGGACGGGUGAGUAAUGCCUAGGAAUCUGCCUGGUAGUGGGGGAUAACGUCCGGAAACGGGCGCUAAUACCGCAUCCGUCCUGAGGGAGAAAGGGGGGGAUCUUCGGACCUCGCGCUACCAGAUGACCCUAGGUCGGAUUAGCUAGUUGGUGGGGUAAAGGCCUACCAAGGCGACGAUCCGUAACUGGUCUGAGAGGAUGAUCAGUCACACUGGAACUGAGACACGGUCCAGACUCCUACGGGAGGCAGCAGUGGGGAAUAUUGGACAAUGGGCGAAAGCCUGAUCCAGCCAUGCCGCGUGUGUGAAGAAGGUCUUCGGAUUGUAAAGCACUUUAAGUUGGGAGGAAGGGCAGUAAGUUAAUACCUUGCUGUUUUGACGUUACCAACAGAAUAAGCACCGGCUAACUUCGUG